rnacentral:tRNA from 1 species
GCCUCUGUAGCUCAGUUGGUUAGAGCACUGCACCAGAAUCGCAGGGCCGUAGGUUCAAUUCCUACCAGAGGAC